AUGGGAAAGACCAGAGAUCUCUUCAAGAAAAUUAGAGAUACCAAGGGAACAUUUCAUGCAAAGAUGGACUCAAUGAAGGAUAGAAAUGGUCUGGACCUAACAGAAGCAGAAGAUAUUAAGAAGAGGUGGCAAGAAUACACGGAAGAACUGUACAAAAAAGAUCUUCACGACCCAGAUAAUCAUGAUGAUGUGAUCACUAAUCUAGAGCCAGACAUCUUGGAAUGUGAAGUCAAGUGGGCCUUAGAAAGCAUCACUAUGAACAAAGCUAGUGGAGGUGAUGGAAUUCCAGUUGAGCUGUUUCAAAUCCUGAGAGAUGAUGCUGUGAAAGUGCUGCACUCAAUAUGCCAGCAAGUUUGGAAAACUCAGCAGUGGCCACAGGACUGGAAAAGGUCAGUUUUCAUUCCAAUUCCAAAGAAAAGCAAUGCCAAAGAAUGUUCAAACUGCUGCACAAUUGCACUCAUCUCACACGCUAGUAAAGUAAUGCUCAAAAUUCUCCAAGCCAGGCUUCAGCAAUACGUGAACCGUGAACUUCCUGAUGUUCAAGCUGGUUUUAGAAAAGGCAGAGGAACCAGAGAUCAAAUUGCCAACAUCCACUGGAUCAUAGAAAAAGCAAGAGAUUUCCAGAAAAACAUCUAUUUCUGCUUUACUGACUAUGCCAAAGCCUUUGACUGUGUGGAUCACAAUAAACUGUGGAAAAUUCUGAAAGAGGUGGGAAUACCAGACCACCUGACCUGCCUCUUGAGAAACCCAUAUGCAGGUCGGGAAGCAACAGUUAGAGCUGGACAUGGAACAACAGACUGGUUCCAAAUAGGAAAAGGAGUACGUCAAGGCUGUAUAUUGUCACCCUGCUUAUUUAACUUAUAUGCAGAGUACCUCAUGAGAAAUGCUGGACUGGAAGAAGCACAAGCUGGAAUCAAGACUGCCGGGAGAAAUAUCAAUAACCUCAGAUAUGCAGAUGACACCACCCUUAUGGCAGAAAGUGAAGAGGAACUAAAAAGCGUCUUGAUGAAAGUGAAAGAGGAGAGUGAAAAAGUUGGCUUAAAGCUCAACAUUCAGAAAACAAAGAUCAUGGCAUCUGGUCCCAUCACUUCAUGGGAAAUAGAUGGGGAAACAGUGGAAACAGUGUCAGACUUUAUUUUGGGGGGCUCCAAAAUCACUGCAGAUGGUGACUGCAGCCAUGAAAUUAAAAGAUGCUUACUCCUUGGAAGAAAAGUUAUGACCAACCUAGAUAGUAUAUUCAAAAGCAGAGACAUUACUUUGCCGACUAAGGUCCGUCUAGUCAAGGCUAUGGUUUUUCCAGUGGUCAUGUAUGGAUGUGAGAGUUGGACUGUGAAGAAGGCUGAGCACCGAAGAAUUGAUGCGUUUCAACUGUGGUUUUGGAGAAGACUCUUUGGGGUCCCUUGGACUGCAAGGAGAUCCAACCAGUCCAUUCUGAAGGAGAUCAGCCCUGGGAUUUCUUUGGAAGGAAUGAUGCUAAAGCUGAAGCUCUAG
rnacentral:lncRNA from 1 species